UACGUAGGUGGCAAGCGUUGUUCGGCAUUAUUGGGCGUAAAGAGCUCGUAGGCGGUUUGUCGCGUCUGCCGUGAAAGUCCGGGGCUCAACUCCGGAUCUGCGGUGGGUACGGGCAGACUAGAGUGAUGUAGGGGAGACUGGAAUUCCUGGUGUAGCGGUGAAAUGCGCAGAUAUCAGGAGGAACACCGAUGGCGAAGGCAGGUCUCUGGGCAUUAACUGACGCUGAGGAGCGAAAGCAUGGGGAGCGAACAGG
rnacentral:rRNA from 1 species